AACGAACGCUGGCGGCGUGCCUAACACAUGCAAGUCGUACGAGAAAUCCUGGGCAACCGGGAGAGUAAAGUGGCGCACGGGUGAGUAACACGUGGGUAACCUGCCCUUGAGUUGGGGAUAACUCCGCGAAAGCGGGGCUAAUACCGGAUAAUAUGAGAAUCUCCCUGGAGGUUCUCAUCAAAGGUGGCCUCUGCAUGCAAGCUAUUACUCAAGGAUGGGCCCGCGUACCAUUAGCUUGUUGGUAGGGUAACGGCCUACCAAGGCAACGAUGGUUAGCUGGUCUGAGAGGAUGGCCAGCCACACUGGAACUGAGACACAGUCCAGACUCCUACGGGAGGCAGCAGUGGGGAAUCUUGCGCAAUGGGGGAAACCCUGACGCAGCAACGCCGCGUGGGUGAUGAAGGCCUUCGGGUCGUAAAGCCCUGUCAGGUGGAAAGAAUUAUGUCGGUGUGAAUAAUGCCGGCAUUUGACGGUACCACCGGAGGAAGCACCGGCUAACUCUGUGCCAGCCGCCGCGGUAACAC
rnacentral:rRNA from 1 species